CUAACAAGGAUUCCCCUAGUAACGGCGAGUGAAGCGGGAAGAGCUCAAAUUUGUAAUCUGGCGGCCUUUGGCCGUCCGAGUUGUAGUCUCGAGAAGCGUCUUCUGCGUCGGACCGUGUACAAGUCCCUUGGAACAGGGCGUCGUAGAGGGUGAGAAUCCCGUCUUUGACACGGACUGCCGGUGCUCUGUGAUGCGCUCUCAAAGAGUCGAGUUGUUUGGGAAUGCAGCUCAAAACGGGUGGUAAAUUCCAUCUAAAGCUAAAUAUUGGCGAAAGACCGAUAGCGAACAAGUACCGUGAGGGAAAGAUGAAAAGCACUUUGGAAAGAGAGUUAAACAGUACGUGAAAUUGCUGAAAGGGAAACGCUUGAAGUCAGUCGCGUCUCCCGGGAUUCAGCCGUGCCCCUGUCGGGGCGCGGUGUACUUCCUGGCUGUGACGGGCCAGCAUCGAUUUUGGCCGUCGGAGAAAGGCCUUGGGAAUGUGGCACCUUCGGGUGUGUUAUAGCCCUGGGUCGCAUGCGACGGUCGGGAUCGAGGACCGCAGCACGUUUCUCCUUCCUUYGCGGGAAAGGGGCUCGGGGUUCGCCCACGCAAACGUUGCUUAGGAUGCUUGGCGUAAUGGCUUUAAGCG
rnacentral:rRNA from 1 species